UUGCAAUGGGAGGAGGGAGGAGGCUGUGAGUCCCACCCAAGACUGACUGAUAAGGCCCAGGCCUCACAGGUGCACCUAAAUGUGGCCUGUAGAUGGAAAACUGGCACAUUUGAAUUGGAGUUUAUACACCUCCAGGCAUCUCUAUAAAUACAAACUGAAAAGAAUGGCGUGGCAUUAAACAAGCAGGAAGUGCUCAAACCCACAUG